rnacentral:rRNA from 1 species
UCGGGCCUACGGGGGGCAGCAGUGAGGAAUAUUGGUCAAUGGACGGAAGUCUGAACCAGCCAUGCCGCGUGCAGGAAGACGGCUCUAUGAGUUGUAAACUGCUUUUGUACAAGGGUAAACCUGAAUACGUGUAUUCAGCUGAAAGUACUGUACGAAUAAGGAUCGGCUAACUCCGUGCCAGCAGCCGCGGUAAUACGGAGGAUCCAAGCGUUAUCCGGAUUUAUUGGGUUUAAAGGGUGCGUAGGCGGAUUGAUAAGUUAGAGGUGAAAUCCCGAGGCUCAACUUCGGAAUUGCCUCUGAUACUG